rnacentral:misc_RNA from 1 species
AGCAGCCGCGGUAAUUCCAGCUCCAAUAGCGUAUAUUAAAGUUGUUGCAGUUAAAAGCUCGUAGUUGAAUUUUGGAUUCUGCCAAUUGGUCCAUCUUUUAGAUGAGUACUGGUUGUGUGGGGUCUAUCCGCCUGGUGAUACGUAAUGUUCUUUAUUGGAUGUUGCGGGUAGUCAGGACCUUUACCUUGAAAAAAUUAGAGUGUUUAAAGCAGGCUUAUGCCGGAAUACAUUAGCAUGGAAUAAUAGAAUAGGACGAAGUUGUUUUAUUUUGUUGGUUUCUAGGACAACCGUAAUGAUUAAUAGGGAUAGUUGGGGGCAUUAGUAUUCAAUUGUCAGAGGUGAAAUUCUUGGAUUUAUUGAAGACUAACUACUGCGAAAGCAUUUGCCAAGGAUGUUUUCAUUAAUCAAGAACGAAAAUUUAGGGGAUCGAAGACGAUCAGAUACCGUCGUAGUCUUAACCAUAAACUAUGCCGACUAGGGAUCGGGCGAUGUUGUUUCCAUGACUCGCUCGGCACCUUAU